rnacentral:rRNA from 1 species
UACGGGGGGAGCAAACGUUGUUCGGGAUCACUGGGCGUAAAGGGCGUGUAGGCGGCUGGAUAAGUGGGAUGUUAAAUCCCCCGGCUCAACCGGGGACCUGCAUCUCAUACUGUUCAGCUCGAGCACAUCAGAGGAGACUGGAAUUCCCGGUGUAGCGGUGAAAUGCGCAGAUAUCAGGAAGAACACCCGUGGCGAAGGCGGUUCUCUGGGACGGUACUGACGCUGAGACGCGAAAGCGUGGGGAGCGAACAGG